rnacentral:rRNA from 1 species
CACGUAGGGGGCAAGCGUUGUCCGGAAUCAUUGGGCGUAAAGAGCUCGUAGGCGGCUCAGUAAGUCGGGUGUGAAACCUCCAGGCUCAACCUGGAGACGCCACCCGAUACUGCUGUGGCUAGAGUCCAGUAGGGGAGUGUGGAAUUCCAGGUGUAGCGGUGAAAUGCGUAGAUAUCUGGAGGAACACCGGUGGCGAAGGCGGCAUCCUGGACCGGUAUUGACGCUGAGGCGCGAAAGCUAGGGGAGCAAACGGG